GCCUGGGUGGCUCAUUCGGUUAAGCGUCCGACUUAGGCUCAGGUCAUGAUCUUGAGGGUCAUGGGUUCGAGCCCCGUACCAGGCU
rnacentral:tRNA from 1 species